AGUGAAUAGAUACCCGGGUAGUCCACGCCCUAAACGAUGGAUACUAGUCAUUAGUGGCUUCGACCCCCUAGUGACGAAAGCUAAACGCGUUAAGUAUCCCGCCUGGGGAGUACGGUCGCAAGACUAAAACUCAAAGGAAUUGACGGGGACCCGCACAAGCGGUGGAGCAUGUGGUUUAAUUGGAUGGUAAGCCGGGCACCUCACCAAGAUUUGACAUCCUGAUGAAAGGCACUAGAAAUAGAGUCCCUCGAAAGACAUCAGUGACAGGUGCUGCACGGUUGUCGUCAGCUCGUGUUGUGAAAUGUACCGUUAAGUCGGAUAACGAGCGCAACCCCUAUUGCCAGUUACAAGUGUCUGGCGAGACUGCCGUGGUUAACACGGAGGAAGGUGGGGAUGACGUCAAAUCAGCGUGGCCUUUAUAUCUUGGGCGACACACGUGCUACAAUGGGCAGGUCACAAUGGGACGCUAAGCCGUAAGGCGGAGCAAAACCCAACAAAACUGUCCUCAGUUCGGAUUGAGGUCUGCAACUCGACCUCAUG
rnacentral:rRNA from 1 species